ensembl:lincRNA
AGCAAACAUUUCCAGACUGCCCACGGGAUGCAAACGUCUCCCAUGCUCUGGGCACCGAUGGGCUUCUGCUGUGAGUCCUGGCUCACCCCCGAAGGCACAUGAGGAGGGUGCACUCUGGCCGACAUGCAUGCCCAGGAGCAGCCGGCUGUGAAAAUGACGGAAGUCCGAGAAGACACUGCUGGAGUCGUCAUGGACGAAGCAGGCCCCUCUCGGCUGGCUGUAGAAGCGUCCACACGUCUCAGAGCACAGACCGCACCUCCCUCGACUGCUCGAUGGCUAAUGGCUUGCAGUCCUGCAGGUGCCAUGCCGGCUGCUCCCUGCCCCCCAGUCCCUGACCCAGCAGGGAAGCCCCCGGACCAGCAAGCCCAGAACGAGGAUGGGGUGACGUCAGGACCCACUGAGGGGUCCCAUCAACAGAGCAUGCUGACCCUGGGGAGGACAGGGGACCCGGAAGAGGACGGUGGGCAGAGGCCGCCGUGCGCUUCUCUGAAAGAGGCUGCCAGGCGUCACUGCUGGGAAUUCAUCAGGAGCUCUUGAAGGACAGAAGAACAAAGAAAGCAGGUGAGGUUGUCAGGAGACGAUGAGACGGGAGCUGCCAGCUAGUGGCGCGUCGACGUGACACCAUUUACUUAGGGUCCUUCAUGUUAGAGAUUCCAGUGCCGAGGCCAACACGCCUCUUCAGUCGGGGGGUGGGCUGGCGCACCCACGGUUUACCAUCCAGAGAUGGAGGAAAAGGGUGCUACCCGGCGGUACCUCACUUCCAGGCAGAAGAAUAAGAGGCCCUCUGGGGGGUGUUGCUUGGACUCUUCCUUAAGUGUGUAAAGAAACAAAUGCCCUCUUUUCUUCUAUAGUGAUGAACGUUUUCCUGGGUGUUUCGUACACCUCCUGUGGUUCUCUUGACAAGGCAGGGAAGGGACUGUGUUAACAUGCCCAGGGCUGGAGUGUGGGCCAGUUCCUGCUCCCCACUCUUCCCUCCCUCUCUGUCUCUCUGUCUGUCUCUGUCUCUCUGUCUCUGUCUCUCUGUUUCUGUCUCUGUGUCUCUCUGUCUCUGUCUCUCUGUCUGUCUCUCUGUCUCUGUCUCUCUGUCUCUGUCUCUCUGUCUCUGUCUCUCUGUCUCUCUGUCUGUUUCUCUGUCUGUCUCUGUCUCUCUGUCUCUGUCUGUCUCUCUGUCUCUCUGUCUGUCUCUCUGUCUCUGUCUCUCUGUCUCUCUGUCUGUCUCUGUCUCUCAUGCCCCUACACCUGAUGGUCCCUAGUUUUCUGGGGAGAACCCCAGAAUCCAAACUGAGAGAUUCUAGCUGGUCCUGGAUUCUCCCCACACAAAUUCUUCAUCUGGGUUUUUCUGCCUCUGCUUGGGCCUUGGGAGGACCGUGUCUCACACAGAAGCAGCUCCUGCUACCAUCACGUGUGUGGGAUCAUCAGGAAUAGCCUAUAACGACACACAGGUAAGCACAAAAAGCGUCAUCCGUCCACUGAGCUGUAAUCUUGCUCUUCUUGACUCGGACUUCAGCUCAGCCCCUGGAGGACAAGCACACACACACACACACCUCCAAGGAAACUAUUUCUUCUACUUGAAAACUCUUCAAAUAUUUGGAGGGUUUUCCGUGUCCUCUUAAUCUUUUCUGAGCAGGGCAAAUCCAGCCCCAUCAAUAGAUUCCCGCAGAGCAAAGACUGCUGUUAUCACUCAGCCCUUCGGCAAACACCUUGAGUCCACUGUGAGCUGAGCAAACAGCCAAGAGCAUCGUCCCUUCUAGGAGCCUCUGCCUGGGCUCCUACCUGAGCUGCCCGCAGCCACCUGCCCUGGACACACCCAGAUCUCCAGAUAUCGCGUCAGGGCCCCGUAGGCAGUGCCACCCGUCUCCUAACUUUUAACUUGUAGAUUUAACCACACAGAGCAGAUUUGCUUGGAUGUUUCUACUCCAUGUUGGGUCCUCUGGGCAUCCAUCAACAUUCGGUGUAAACUGCUUAGCUUUUGGGGACCUGCCUGGUGGUCCAGUGGUUAAGAAUCUGCCUUACAAGGCAGGGGAUUUGGGUUCGCUCUCUGGUCGGGGAGCUAAGACCCCACAUGCUGUUGGGCACCUGAGUCUUCCCACUGCAACCACUGAAGCCGGAGAGCUCUGGAGCCCGUGUGCUACGCUUACAGAGCCCGUGUCCACAGCUAGAGAGAGUGUGCACAGCACAAGACCCACAACACUGAGCCCGUGUCCACAGCUAGAGAGAGUGUGCACAGCACAAGACCCACAAUACAGAGCCCGUGUCCACAGCUAGAGAGAGUGCGUGCACAGCACAAGACCCACAAUACAGAGCCCGUGUCCACAGCUAGAGAGAGUGUGCACAGCACAAGACCCACAAUACAGAGCCCGUGUCCACAGCUAGAGAGAGUGUGCACAGCACAAGACCCACAAUACAGAGCCCGUGUCCACAGCUAGAGAGAGUGCGUGCACAGCACAAGACCCACAAUACAGAGCCCGUGUCCACAGCUAGAGAGAGUGCGUGCACAGCACAAGACCCACAAUACAGAGCCCGUGUCCACAGCUAGAGAGAGUGUGCACAGCACAAGACCCACAAUACAGAGCCCGUGUCCACAGCUAGAGAGUGUGUGCACAGCACAAGACCCACAAUACGGAGCCCGUGUCCACAGCUAGAGAGAGUGUGCACAGCACAAGACCCACAAUACAGAUCCCGUGUCCACAACUAGAGAGAGUGUGCACAGCAUAAGACCCACAUCACUGAGCCCGUGUCCACAGCUAGAGAGAGUGUGCACAGCACAAGACCCACAAUACAGAGCCCGUGUCCACAGCUAGAGAGAGUGCGUGCACAGCACUAGACCCAUAAUACAGAGCCCGUGUCCACAGCUAGAGAGAGUGUGCACAGCACAAGACCCACAACACUGAGCCCGUGUCCACAGCUAGAGAGUGUGUGCACAGCACAGAAGACCCACAACACUGAGCCCAUGUCCGCAGCUAGAGACAGAGUGCGUGCACAGCACAAGACCCAUAAUACAGAGCCCGUGUCCACAGCUAGAGAGAGUGUGCACAGCACAGAAGACCCACAACACUAAGCCCAUGUCCACAGCUAGAGAGAGUGUGUGCACAGCAUAAGACCCACAAUACUGAGCCCGUGUCCACAGCUAGAGAGAGUGUGUGCACAGCACAAGACCCACAAUACAGAGCCCGUGUCCACACUAGAGAGAGAGUGUGCACAGCACAGAAGAUCUACCCAAGAAAGGCAGAUCCCUCAUGCUGCAACCAAGUCCUGACGCAGCCCAAUAAGUGAAGACAAAUGCCCACCCUACAACCUCACAAAGCCUUCUUGGCUUUCGGGGCACUUUUACAGGCUUCCUCGCUGGUCUGACUGACAAUGCAUGACGAUGCUCUCUUCAAGUUUCUGUCAUGUUUCGUGUUCUCGGGGGAGCAUGACAACAGCUGGAAGAGGCCAGAGGCUGUCUGGCUCCAGACUCUUUUUUUGUGGAAGAGGAAACUGACCCAGACAUGCAGACGCAUUAUUCUCCAUUCAUUCAUUCUGCACAAUACCUUUAUCCUUGCUGUAGACGUCUUGUUUCCUUUAUUUUUUAGUUGAAGAGCGUAACUUUAGAGACUGACUACAUUCGCCCACUCCUAACUCUUCAUAUUCAAGGUGGGCGCCCUGUACAGCCUUGCGGCACAGUCAUUAGCCCAUUCUCCCAUUCAACAAACUACUUCAGCCUUUUAUUAUGAGAGAUUUCAAAGACAAGAGAGACUGAUACUAUAAACACAAUUGUAUAUGGCACUUCAGUUUAAAUUAGAGCAUGUGCCAAUUAUUUCUUUAUUUCUUCAAAGAUUUUUCUCAGAAAUUUUAAAGCGUGUUCUAAACAUCAUAACAUCUGAAGCAUAAAUGCUUCAUACACGCCUUUGCUGAGAAGGGUGUGCACACAUAUAAAGUCUGUAUCUUUAUCCAUAUGCAUUUAUCCAUCCAUCCACCCAUCGCUUACAAAAGCCACAAGGCCACUGCCACCUCGAAGGAAGGCAACAGAAAUAGAUGCUCUGAUAUUUUACGAUUUCUGUGUUGUCCUCAAAGGGUCUUUUCACAGCGGGUUCGCUGUCUGCGUUUGUGGCCACGUGGCUUCAGGUGUUUCUUCCACACAGCCCUUCCUCUUCCUUCGCAGCCCCUGGUUUGCUGGAGAAGCCGGUGUCGUCUGCUUUGUCUGUGUCUCCUUGCCUUUCACGUAAACGGCUAGUGGGUCUGGGGCUCGAUCUAGUUCCAGUCUGGCCUUCUUGCAGGAGCUCCUCAUGAGUGGAGCCGGUCUGCUGCCUGGCGUGUCGGGAGGUGGUCCUGUCUUGGUGGUGCUCGGGCUGGCAGGGUCCGGCCGACGCCUCUGACCUCCGAUCACCUUCAAGAGCCGAAUGUGGUGUCUGCCACCUGUGGCUGCUGAAUGGACCAGUUACAUCACUCGGAGUUGACAAAUGGAGGCUUUCUUGUUCUAACUUUACUUCUGAGUUAAUGACUGGGAUUAUUCUUUUUAACGAAUUUUAUCUCAUCGGUUUUGAACUGAAUAUGGGAAGAUAAACACUUGACCUUCCUCUCUUUAAUUUCAAGGUGAAGCGCAGCCUUCCACUUCUGACCAAUAAGGACGUACUUCUGGGACAUCAAUGUGAACACAUGAAUUCUGUAUGUUGAUGAGUCUCAGUCAAUUGCAGUUAUUUUUCUUUCUGAUAGUCUUAUUGUUCCAUAUUGAGUCAGUGAGAACCUUUCCCGAUGAUGAGCGUCUAAAGUUUUUACCAAAUUAGAAGGAAAAGUCUUACUCCUUCAGAUAUUUUUCUUUAUCUUGUUUUGUAAAAGUCCAGUUAUGGGUGUUUUAGACAGAUGGAUAUUGAGAGUUCGUUAACCUUUUCCAGCAUUUCUCUUUCCUGUAGGAUAAUUGCUGCUGCUCUAUUUUCAGGUUCAAUUUUAUUUGCUUCUAUUGCGUUUAAUUUGCUCAUAAUUCCAUCCAGCAUAUUAGUCACUGGGGUUGUUGUGGUUUUUUUUCAGUCA